rnacentral:rRNA from 1 species
CGGAUGAACGUUGGCGGCGUGCCUAAUACAUGCAAGUCGAACGAAGACUGUAGUAAUACUGUCUUAGUGGCGAACGGGUGAGUAACGCGUGGGUGACCUGCCCCGAAGUGUGGGAUAACAGCUCGAAAGGGCUGCUAAUACCUCAUGUGAUCAUUUGGAUUAGAACCCUUAUGAUGAAAGGAGCUUGCUCCACUUUGGGAGGGGCCUGCGUACCAUCAGCUAGUUGGUAGGGUAAUGGCCUACCAAGGCUAUGACGGUUAGGGGACCUGAGAGGGUGGCCCCCCACAAUGGAACUGAAACACGGUCCAUACACCUACGGGUGGCAGCAGUAGGGAAUAUUGGUAAUCUGCGAAAGCGGGAACCAGCAACGCCGCGUGUGCGAUGAAGGCCUUCGGGUUGUAAAGCACUUUUCGGGAGGAAGAGGAAGGACUGUACUCCCGGAAUAAGUCUCGGCUAACUACGUG